rnacentral:rRNA from 1 species
UACGAAGGGGGCUAGCGUUGCUCGGAAUCACUGGGCGUAAAGGGUGCGUAGGCGGGUCUUUAAGUCAGGGGUGAAAUCCUGGAGCUCAACUCCAGAACUGCCUUCGAUACUGGCGAGCUCGAGUUCGGGAGAGGUGAGUGGAACUGCGAGUGUAGAGGUGAAAUUCGUAGAUAUUCGCAAGAACACCAGUGGCGAAGGCGGCUCACUGGCCCGAUACUGACGCUGAGGAGCGAAAGCGUGGGGAGCGAACAGG